rnacentral:rRNA from 1 species
UACGUAGGGGGCUAGCGUUGUCCGGAAUCAUUGGGCGUAAAGCGCGUGUAGGCGGUCCGGUAAGUCCGCUGUGAAAGUCGGGGGCUCAACCCUCGGAUGCCGGUGGAUACUGUCGAGCUUGAGUACGGAAGAGGCGAGUGGAAUUCCUGGUGUAGCGGUGAAAUGCGCAGAUAUCAGGAGGAACACCAAUUGCGAAGGCAGCUCGCUGGGACGUUACUGACACUGAGACGCGAAAGCGUGGGGAAGCAAACAGG